rnacentral:rRNA from 1 species
AUUGAACGCUGGCGGCAUGCUUUACACAUGCAAGUCGAGCGGCAGCGCGGGGGCAACCCUGGCGGCGAGCGGCGAACGGGUGAGUAAUGCAUCGGAACGUAUCCUCGAGUGGGGGAUAACCCAGCGAAAGUUGGGCUAAUACCGCAUGAGCUCUGAGGAGGAAAGCGGGGGACCUGCGAGGGCCUCGCGCUGGAGGAGCGGCCGAUGUCCGAUUAGCUAGUUGGUGGGGUAAAGGCUUACCAAGGCGACGAUCGGUAGCUGGUCUGAGAGGAUGAUCAGCCACACUGGGACUGAGACACGGCCCAGACUCCUACGGGAGGCAGCAGUGGGGAAUUGUGGACAAUGGGGGCAACCCUGAUCCAGUCAUGCCGCGUGAGUGACGAAGGCCUUCGGGUUGUAAAGCUCGUUCGGACGGAACGAAAUGGGCGGGACUAAUACUCCUGUCGGAUGACGGUACCGUAAGAAGAAGCACCGGCUAACUACGUG